rnacentral:rRNA from 1 species
GUGUCAGCCGCCGCGGUAAUACGUAGGUGGCGAGCGUUAUCCGGAAUUAUUGGGCGUAAAGGGUGCGUAGGCGGUUUUUUAAGUGGGAUGUGAAAUACCUAGGCUUAACUUAGGAAUGAUAUUCCAAACUGGAAGACUAGAGUGCAGGAGAGGAAAGUGGAAUUCCCAGUGUAGCGGUGAAAUGCGUAGAGAUUGGGAGGAACACCAGUGGCGAAGGCGACUUUCUGGACUGUAACUGACGCUGAGGCACGAAAGCGUGGGGAGCGAACAGGAUUAGAUACCCGUGUAGUCC